UAUUGAUAAUAAAUAUCUUUCCAUGAGCUUAUUUAGACAUUUUUGUGUCUUUUCUUUUGAAAUGUCUUUAUAUCUCUUGUCUAAUUAUUUUUGGAUUGUUUGCCUUCUUAAUAAUGAACUGUAAGAGUUCUUUAUAUAUUCUGUGUAUUUUAAUUACCAUUCUUUUAACAGAUACACACACUAUGCAUAUUUCCUCCCAAUCUGUGGCUUACAUUUUACCAUGCUUUUUUCUUUUUCUUUCAGAGGCAAGUUCCCAUUACAUUGCCCAGGCUGGAAAGCACUGGCUGUUCACCGGCAUGAUCAUCAUGCAGUACAACCUCAAACUCCUGGACUCAAGUGAUCUUCCUGCCUCAGCCUCAGAGAAAUCACAAGGUGACACAUCAUUUCAGCUUUUUCCAUCCUUAAUGAUGGCCCACUUCAACCACUUGAUUAAGAUGAUGUCUACUUGGAUUGCCUAUGGUAAAGUUACUGCUUUUUUUUUAAUUAGUAAAUAGUUUGUGUGAAG
rnacentral:lncRNA from 13 species